rnacentral:rRNA from 1 species
GUGCCAGCAGCCGCGGUAAGACAGAGGGUGCAAACGUUGUUCGGAAUUACUGGGCGUAAAGCGCGUGUAGGCUGCUUCGCAAGUCGGGUGUGAAAGCCCUGGGCUCAACCUAGGAAGUGCACUCGAAACUGCGGAGCUGGAGUCUUGGAGAGGAAGGCGGAAUUCUCGGUGUAGAGGUGAAAUUCGUAGAUAUCGAGAGGAACACCGGUGGCGAAGGCGGCCUUCUGGACAAUGACUGACGCUGAGACGCGAAAGCGUGGGGAGCAAACAGGAUUAGAAACCCCAGUAGUCC